CGGCCUUGAAAUACCACCCUUUAAUGUUUGAUGUUCUAACGUGGACCCGUGAUCCGGGUUGCGGACAGUGUCUGGUGGGUAGUUUGACUGGGGCGGUCUCCUCCUAAAGAGUAACGGAGGAGCACGAAGGUUGGCUAAUCCUGGUCGGACAUCAGGAGGUUAGUGCAAUGGCAUAAGCCAGCUUGACUGCGAGCGUGACGGCGCGAGCAGGUGCGAAAGCAGGUCAUAGUGAUCCGGUGGUUCUGAAUGGAAGGGCCAUCGCUCAACGGAUAAAAGGUACUCCGGGGAUAACAGGCUGAUACCGCCCAAGAGUUCAUAUCGACGGCGGUGUUUGGCACCUCGAUGUCGGCUCAUCACAUCCUGGGGCUGAAGUAGGUCCCAAGGGUAUGGCUGUUCGCCAUUUAAAGUGGUACGCGAGCUGGGUUUAGAACGUCGUGAGACAGUUCGGUCCCUAUCUGCCGUGGGCGCUGGAGAACUGAGGGGGGCUGCUCCUAGUACGAGAGGACCGGAGUGGACGCAUCACUGGUGUUCGGGUUGUCAUGCCAAUGGCACUGCCCGGUAGCUAAAUGCGGAAGAGAUAAGUGCUGAAAGCAUCUAAGCACGAAACUUGCCCCGAGAUGAGUUCUCCCUGACCCUUUAAGGGUCCUGAAGGAACGUUGA
rnacentral:rRNA from 2 species